UAAUACAGAGGUCUCAAGCGUUGUUCGGAAUCACUGGGCGUAAAGGGUACGUAGGCUGCACCAUAAGUCGUGCGUGAAAGGCAGGGGCUCAACCUCUGGAGUGCGCGUGAUACUGUGGUGCUGGAGUAAUGGAGGGGGAACCGGAAUUCUUGGUGUAGCAGUGAAAUGCGUAGAUAUCAAGAAGAAGACUCGUGGCGAAGGCGGGUUCCUGGACAUUAACUGACGCUGAGGUACGAAGGCCAGGGUAGCGAAAGGG
rnacentral:rRNA from 1 species